AAAAUGUUUAUCCUUGUUGCUCGCUUUGCUUUCACAAAAGCCUAAAUUGUCUAUUUUUACCAAGUGAAACAUUACGAACCAAACAGUGUAUAACUCCACUCCAACUACACUUCAAUUAUUUUUAGGUAGCAUUUGAUUUAAAUCCAUCCAGCAGUAAUAACGAUGCAGCUAUUGUACCAGUCGGUUGGACACAUCCGUGGUUCUUCUCAAGAAAUAUCAAAGUUCACUGGGACUUACUAAUAGAGGGCGGAUUUAAGUGCUUUUAUCCCUUGGCGCUCUGAAAUUAGGUGUGAAUGUGUCUCUGAAGUUCAUCCUGUUACCAAAAUCAUUAACCAGUACCGUAUCUAUAGUCUUUACUACACUCACCAUGUCUACUUUGUUGCUCCUCCACAGCACACGGAUGUCCAUGAAUUGCUUCAUCAUGCCCUGGAGGUUGACAUAGAUGAUGGCGGCCAGCACUGCCUGCAAAAGAUGAAGGCACCCUGACAAUGUGCAAUCACUCACGGGCAGUUCAGCAGCAUAACCAACCUGAGUCUUCCCGCCUGUGCUCUCCUGAACCAUGCUGCGAGACAUGGAGCAGCUGAUGGCGAAACACUGGAAGACGCCUCCGAUGGAGUUACUCAGACCCAGAGCGAUCAGUUCCUUAAACAAGGAAAUUCACACUAUUUAUUUACAAGAUAUGAAAAGCACUUCAUCCCAGAGUCCAUCCAUCACCUCCUCACCUGGUUGCUGUCCACUUUGUAUCCAUAUUUUAGCGCAAAGAUUCGUCCCAGGGAGAUGGCGAUGCCGUAGCCGACCACGGCCAGAGCGAAGGCGUCCCCGAUCACCUGACCAAACAGAGAGGCGUCCGGGAGCACCGGCGGUUGGAGGCUGGUGAACAUGCAGGGUAGAAUACAUCAGCAAUUACAGACGCCGUGGCUUUUCACAUGUGUAAACACACGUUCACGUAUGUUUGGUGUGUGUGUGUGUGUGUGUGUUUCUCACCCUGAGGGAAUCAGUCCCACCACGUCCACUCCAUAUUUGUCCUUCAAGUUAACUUGCCAGGAGAUGACUGUGGCGAUUACAAUCUGGAUCAUAGGAGAUUCAUUCGUGGGUGUAAGUGUCACAGCGUCUUUGUGAGGGAUUGACUGUGCAUUGAGUACUUGACAAGCCGAUCUAUACUCACACCAAGCAGUUCCACCGGUAUGGGAACAGGUAGUUUUUUACUCAAGUAUGCGUUGAGCUCCUUUACGAGGAUGAGGCAGAUUAUUGCGACGAUACUGACCACAAGAGAACCAAUGUUUGUCUUUGGAAGGAGAUAGCAUAUCUCCAACACCGUCUGCAAUCAAAUAUAUAUUACAAUUGUUUGGGAGAAAUAAGCGGUACAACAUGUCACACAAGAAAAGACAAUGCUCAUGUUAGAUUCUUGUCCGUCAGCCUGUCAGCAAGCAAAUGUUUCACUCCUGGCUGUUUUGUGGCGUAGAUACAUGAAUGCUUACAGGGGGGACGCAGACAUUGUUAUACAUUAUUAGCCCACUAUGCUGAUGAAGUUGUAUUAUCUCACUUGCAGGAUCUUCCAAAACCCCCAAAUAGCAUUAGUCAUUAAAACAAAUAAAAAAACAUGAGCAGGUGUCCACUGUGUUCUUUCUUACAUAUAUCAAUGAGAGCGGUCCACUGUGUCUCACGGGUCUGAUGCCGAAGGUGUAUUUGAGCUGGGACACGAUGACGUGGAUGGCCGCUCCUGUGGUGUAACCUCGGACCAGCGGCUCGGACAGGUAGGUCACAACGAAACCAAACUGGACGAGGCCGAGUAGAAUCUACAUACGUAUUGAAAGACACAGUGAGCUUCACAUCAACAAGUCAAAAGAUUCAGAAUAAUAUUGGAUUCAUAUACGUCUGUCUGUGUUAACAUUAACAUUCACAGAAUCACAAACAGGUUUGCUCACAGAUGAUAACCAGGGUCUAGUUUUACAGGCACAGAACUUGUCUACAAAUGCAUUACUUAUUAACUACAACUUUCCCUUUCAGCCUGGACAACGAGAGAGACACAUGUUUUUAGGACACAGAGAGCACAAGCUGGAUGGAUCCCAUAUGGAUCCUUUUGGAGGCUUGAAUCUUUUGUUGUUCACGCUCUGAGGAUGCGUAUUUCAGUAUUCUAUUGGAUCGAUGUGUUUCUUGCAGAAAAUCCCUAGUGAUCAUUAUGAGAAGUAUCAAUGGGAGGAUUACCUCCAAACAUUUGACUUCCAGUAAUUUACCUGAAAUAAUCCAGACACGAAGGUGACGGCUGCAGCCACUUUGACCCUCUCUGCGUCCCGGGCGACCACGUCGACUUCACUGGCGUUGGUCACGUUGUCCCAAAUCAUGAAGUUGGAGUCCGGUGCUAAUCGCUCUGUCACUCCUCCAACCAUCACACUCAACACCGCAAACGUUCCUAAAUAAGGGAGACGGAGGCAUCCGCCCAUGUGUUUGCUGGCCGGUAAACAACAUAUUGGAUCAUGUUGGAUUAAUCCCCUUGUGUCUAAAUGACUUGUGUGCAGAUAACGUGUUUAAGAACAAACCCAGGGAAAUAUGCUUUGAAGUGCCAAAGAUGAAGUAGACGAGGACUGGAUAAAAAGAGGAGUAAAGUCCAAAGACUGCAGGGACAGAGGCGAGCAGGGCAUAAGCCAUACCUGUAGUGAUAGCAGAGCAGAUGAUAACAACAUUACAGUAGCAAUCAGAAAACCGCUCGUCACAGGAACGGUAUUAAAUUGUAGGGUAAAACAAACCAAUUAUUUAUCUUCUACAGUUAAAUUUACGUUAAUAAAGAUUGUGGACAUUUCGGUUCAAAUAUUUAAACAUUCCCGGCUAACAGUCAGCGUGCGAUGGGAUGGUUUCACCCUCACCCUGCGGGAGCUGCAUGAUCCCCACACUGAUUCCAGAGAUCAGGUCGCCCAGGCAGUUGUCUCUGAGCGAGUACCGAGGCAGCCAUGACAGAACGGGAACGCUCCCCAGCAGGCAGCUCUUCAACCUGGGACCAGAACACCUGAGGGAAGAAAAAAACAAAAAGAAAGUCCUGUCAUUUCAAGUUUCAACAUUCGUGGCGUUUAAAAAGACACUUUGGCCAAACGGAUAGAAAUGAAGCAGAUGAAUUAUUAUUAGAUGAGUUAUUGAAAGUUGAGGGUCAUAAAAUGUUUGAUUUGUUUCAUGUAAUCAUCCCAACUUGAAAUAAAAUAUUCAAAUACAA